rnacentral:rRNA from 1 species
AUGAAACACUCCUACGGGAGGCAGCAGUGGGGAAUAUUGGACAAUGGGCGAAAGCCUGAUCCAGCAAUGCCGCGUGAGUGAUGAAGGCCUUAGGGUUGUAAAGCUCUUUUACCAGGGAUGAUAAUGACAGUACCUGGAGAAUAAGCUCCGGCUAACUCCGUGCCAGCAGCCGCGGUAAUACGGAGGGAGCUAGCGUUGUUCGGAAUUACUGGGCGUAAAGCGCACGUAGGCGGCGAUUCAAGUCAGAGGUGAAAGCCCGGGGCUCAACCCCGGAACUGCCUUUGAAACUAGAUUGCUAGAAUCCUGGAGAGGUUAGUGGAAUUCCGAGUGUAGAGGUGAAAUUCGUAGAUAUUCGGAAGAACACCAGUGGCGAAGGCGACUAACUGGACAGGUAUUGACGCUGAGGUGCGAAAGCGUGGGGAGCAAACAGGAUUAGAAACCCCAGUAGUCCGAAGUUC